UGUAUAGACCAAAGGCUUUGAAGCAUUUCAUUUGCAAUCGAGAUAAAGCUGACUACCUUCAUAAUUUGGUGAAAGAAGGUGAGCAAUGCAGCCAUUAUAUAUUUGAAGGUCCUGCUGGAGUAGGGAAGACAACUAUGGUUUGGGCUUUCUUAAGAGAAGCUUUAGGAGUCGAAGAUUUACUGACAAGGGAAGAGCGCAAGACAUUUGAAUUAAAGGGAGAAGUUGAACCAAGUAUUACAGUACGUGUGAAAGUAUCAUCUCAAUAUGUUGAAAUAAACUUAUCUCAACUACACGGAUACGAAAAGCAUGUGAUUGCUGCCUUAAUUAGAGAAACCCAAUCGAUCACCAAAACCAAA